rnacentral:rRNA from 1 species
UUGAACGCUGGCGGCAUGCCUUACACAUGCAAGUCGGACGGCAGCGCGGGCUUCGGCCUGGCGGCGAGUGGCGAACGGGUGAGUAAUACAUCGGAACGUAUCCUGGAGUGGGGGAUAGCCCGGCGAAAGCCGGAUUAAUACCGCAUACGCUCUGAGGAGGAAAGCGGGGGACCUUCGGGCCUCGCGCUCAAGGGGCGGCCGAUGGCGGAUUAGGUAGUUGGUGGGGUAAAGGCCUACCAAGCCGACGAUCCGUAGCUGGUCUGAGAGGACGACCAGCCACACUGGGACUGAGACACGGCCCAGACUCCUACGGGAGGCAGCAGUGGGGAAUUUUGGACAAUGGGGGCAACCCUGAUCCAGCAAUGCCGCGUGUGUGAAGAAGGCCUUCGGGUUGUAAAGCACUUUUGUCCGGAAAGAAAUCAUCGGGGCUAAUAUC